CAAUAAGNGGAGGAAAAGAACCCACCAGGGAUUACCUCAGUAACGGCGAGUGAAGCGGUAACAGCUCAAAUUUGAAAGCUAGCUCUUUUAGGGUUCGCAUUGUAAUUUGUAGAAGAUGCUUCGGGUGUGGCCCCGGUCUAAGUUCCUUGGAACAGGACGUCAUAGAGGGUGAGAAUCCCGUAUGUGACUGGGUGCUUUCGCUCAUGUGAAGCUCUUUCGACGAGUCGAGUUGUUUGGGAAUGCAGCUCAAAAUGGGUGGUAAAUUUCAUCUAAAGCUAAAUAUUGGCCAGAGACCGAUAGCGCACAAGUAGAGUGAUCGAAAGAUGAAAAGCACUUUGGAAAGAGAGUUAAACAGUACGUGAAAUUGUUGAAAGGGAAGCGCUUGCAACCAGACUUGCGCGCUGAUGAUCAUCCGGGCUUCUGCCCGGUGCACUCGUCUGCGCUCAGGCCAGCAUCGGUUUCGGUGGUGGGAUAAAGGCCUUGGGAAUGUAGCUCCUCUCGGGGAGUGUUAUAGCCCUCGGUGCAAUGCCGCCUACCGGGACCGAGG
rnacentral:rRNA from 1 species